UACGUAGGGUGCAAGCGUUGUCCGGAAUUAUUGGGCGUAAAGAGCUCGUAGGCGGUUUGUUGCGUCGGCUGUGAAAUCCCGAGGCUCAACCUCGGGUCUGCAGUCGAUACGAGCAAACUAGAGUGUUGCAGGGGAGACUGGAAUUCCUGGUGUAGCGGUGAAAUGCGUAGAUAUCUGGAGGAACACCGGUGGCGAAGGCGGCAUCCUGGACCGGCAGUGACGCUGAGGCGCGAAAGCCAGGGGAGCAAACGGG
rnacentral:rRNA from 1 species